rnacentral:rRNA from 1 species
UACGUAGGGUGCAAGCGUUGUUCGGAAUUACUGGGCGUAAAGGGCGCGUAGGCGGGCCCGUAUGUCGAUUGUGAAAGCCCUGGGCUUAACCCGGGAAUGGCAGUCGAAACUGCGGGUCUUGAGUGCUUGAGAGGAUGGCGGAAUUCCCGGUGUAGAAGUGAAAUUCGUAGAUAUCGGGAAGAACACCUGAGGCGAAGGCGGCUGUCUGGCGAUGCACUGACGCUGAGGCGCGAAAGCGUGGGGAGCAAACAGG